rnacentral:rRNA from 1 species
AUGGGUGACUUCAGUGAUAUACUUGAUCACUUAGAGAAGAAUAGUAAUGUUGUAUCGGACCAUCAUCGUAUGGCUAACUUUUCCAAUUAUGUGUAUGUGGUUUUAUUGAUAUGGGUUAUAAUGGUCCUGCUUUCAUAUAUAUGGUGCAAUAAGCGUUUCACUUCUAUUCCGACUUAUGAAAGGCUUGAUCAUUGCUUUCCUAAUACUGAAUGGUGCAAUAAUUUUCCUAAUACUUCUGCUUACAAUCUUCCUAUUAUGUAUAGUGAUCAUGCUCCAAUUCUUACUAUUUCUCAGCCUUUGACUAUCAAGAGUAAGAUAACUUUUAAAUUUGAAAAUUGGUGGUUUCUUAUAGAGGAUUAUUAUGAUACAGUUAAAACUAAUCGGAAUUGUACUAAUAACAAACCUUUCCAAGUUAGAACUGGUUUACUUGCAAGUUCUACUACUGAAGUAACAAGUGGAUGUAAUACAAGAAGAAAUUGGAGAAAUACAAUCUAG